rnacentral:rRNA from 1 species
AUGAAGCUUCUAGCUUGCUAGAAGUGGAUUAGUGGCGCACGGGUGAGUAAGGUAUAGUUAAUCUGCCCUACACAAGAGGACAACAGUUGGAAACGACUGCUAAUACUCUAUACUCCUGCUUAACACAAGUUGAGUAGGGAAAGUUUUUCGGUGUAGGAUGAGACUAUAUAGUAUCAGCUAGUUGGUAAGGUAAUGGCUUACCAAGGCUAUGACGCUUAACUGGUCUGAGAGGAUGAUCAGUCACACUGGAACUGAGACACGGUCCAGACUCCUACGGGAGGCAGCAGUAGGGAAUAUUGCGCAAUGGGGGAAACCCUGACGCAGCAACGCCGCGUGGAGGAUGACACUUUUCGGAGCGUAAACUCCUUUUCUUAGGGAAGAAUUCUGACGGUACCUAAGGAAUAAGCACCGGCUAACUCCGUGCCAGCAGCCGCGGUAAUACGGAGGGUGCAAGCGUUACUCGGAAUCACUGGGCGUAAAGGGCGCGUAGGCGGAUUAUCAAGUCUCUUGUGAAAUCUAAUGGCUUAACCAUUAAACUGCUUGGGAAACUGAUAGUCUAGAGUGAGGGAGAGGCAGAUGGAAUUGGUGGUGUAGGGGGUAAAAUCCGUAGAUAUCACCAAGAAUACCCAUUGCGAAGGCGAUCUGCUGGAACUCAACUGACGCUAAGGCGCGAAAGCGUGGGGAGCAAACAGGAUUAGAUACCCUGGUAGUCCACGCCCUAAACGAUGUACACUAGUUGUUGGGGUGCUAGUCAUCUCAGUAAUGCAGCUAACGCAUUAAGUGUACCGCCUGGGGAGUACGGUCGCAAGAUUAAAACUCAAAGGAAUAGACGGGGACCCGCACAAGCGGUGGAGCAUGUGGUUUAAUUCGAAGAUACGCGAAGAACCUUACCUGGGCUUGAUAUCCUAAGAACCUUUUAGAGAUAAGAGGGUGCUAGCUUGCUAGAACUUAGAGACAGGUGCUGCACGGCUGUCGUCAGCUCGUGUCGUGAGAUGUUGGGUUAAGUCCCGCAACGAGCGCAACCCACGUAUUUAGUUGCUAACGGUUCGGCCGAGCACUCUAAAUAGACUGCCUUCGUAAGGAGGAGGAAGGUGUGGACGACGUCAAGUCAUCAUGGCCCUUAUGCCCAGGGCGACACACGUGCUACAAUGGCAUAUACAAUGAGACGCAAUACCGCGAGGUGGAGCAAAUCUAUAAAAUAUGUCCCAGUUCGGAUUGUUCUCUGCAACUCGAGAGCAUGAAGCCGGAAUCGCUAGUAAUCGUAGAUCAGCCAUGCUACGGUGAAUACGUUCCCGGGUCUUGUACUCACCGCCCGUCACACCAUGGGAGUUGAUUUCACUCGAAGCCGGAAUACUAAACUAG